rnacentral:rRNA from 1 species
UUCCUACGGGAGGCAGCAGUGGGGAAUUGUUCGCAAUGGGCGCAAGCCUGACGACGCAACGCCGCGUGGGGGAAGAAGGCUUCGGGUUGUAAACCCCUUUCAGGAGGGACGAAGCCACUCGGGUUAAUAGCCCAGAGGGUGACGGUACCUCCAGAAGAAGCCCCGGCUAACUACGUGCCAGCAGCCGCGGUAAUACGUAGGGGGCAAGCGUUGUCCGGAUUUAUUGGGCGUAAAGAGCGUGUAGGCGGCUUGGCAAGUCCGCUGUGAAAACUCGAGGCUCAACCUCGAGCCGUCGGUGGAAACUGCCUGGCUAGAGUCCGGAAGAGGAGAGUGGAAUUCCUGGUGUAGCGGUGAAAUGCGCAGAUAUCAGGAAGAACACCUAUGGCGAAGGCAGCUCUCUGGGACGGUACUGACGCUCAUGCACGAAAGCGUGGGGAGCAAACAGGAUUAGAUACCCUGGUAGUCCACGCCCUAAACGAUGUCAACUGGUUGUUGGUCCUUCACUGGAUCAGUAACGAAGCUAACGCGUGAAGUUGACCGCCUGGGGAGUACGGCCGCAAGGUUAAAACUCAAAGGAAUUGA